rnacentral:rRNA from 1 species
GUGGGGAAUCUUCCGCAAUGGACGAAAGUCUGACGGAGCAACGCCGCGUGAGUGAUGAAGGUCUUCGGAUUGUAAAGCUCUGUUAAUCGGGACGAAAGAGCCUAGUGUGAAUAAUGCUAGGAAGUGACGGUACCGGAAUAGAAAGCCACGGCUAACUACGUGCCAGCAGCCGCGGUAAUACGUAGGUGGCAAGCGUUGUCCGGAAUUAUUGGGCGUAAAGCGCGCGCAGGCGGAUCUGCCAGUCUGUCUUAAAAGUUCGGGGCUUAACCCGGUGAUGGGAUGGAAACUACAGAUCUAGAGUAUCGGAGAGGAAAGUGGAAUUCCUAGUGUAGCGGUGAAAUGCGUAGAUAUUAGGAAGAACACCAGUGGCGAAGGCGACUUUCUGGACGAAAACUGACGCUGAGGCGCGAAAGCCAGGGGAGCGAACGGGAUUAGAUACCCCUGUAGUCC